GAUGAACGCUGGCGGCGUGCCUAACACAUGCAAGUCGAGCGAUUCUCUUCGGAGAAGAGCGGCGGACGGGUGAGUAACGCGUGGGUAACCUGCCCUGUACACACGGAUAACAUACCGAAAGGUAUGCUAAUACGAGAUAAUAUACUUUUAUCGCAUGGUAGAAGUAUCAAAGCUUUUGCGGUACAGGAUGGACCCGCGUCUGAUUAGCUAGUUGGUAAGGUAACGGCGUACCAAGGCGACGAUCAGUAGCCGACCUGAGAGGGUGAUCGGGCAAAUUGGAACUGAGGCACGGUCCAAACUCCUACGGGAGGCAGCAGUGGGGGAUGUUGCACAAUGGGCGAAAGCCUGAUGCAGCAACGCCUCGUGAGCGAUGAAGGCCUUCGGGUCGUAAGGCUCUGUCCUCAAGGAAGAUAAUGACGGUACUUGAGGAGGAAGCCCCGGCUAACUACGUGCCAGCCGCCGCGGUAAUAC
rnacentral:rRNA from 1 species